rnacentral:lncRNA from 1 species
UGAACUCAGAGAUCUCCUUACCUUCAAAUUCAUAGCACUAUGCCUCAAGGUCUCCAUGCCAAGAUCCAGGUCAGAAACUUGUGUGUUCCAGCUUCAAGAUCUGGAUCGCAGAGAGCGGAGGUGGGUGGUGCCUGUUCCAUUCCGUGGAAAUGAACCAAAACCCUGAAGCGGUAGAUGGACCCUCUGAUACCACCCAGAACCAGGUCUAGAACUGUUGGAAGGAAUGUGUGCAGACUGGAGACUGGAUUUGGCUCUGCAUAGAAGCAAGGAUCUCCCCCUCAGGAGUGCCCUCCCAGAGGCAAGCAGGACAAUGAAGAAAAUCAGAGACACCAGGGUGCUUCAGCUGCAGCAAUAUUAAGCCAGCCACCUGCUCAGUGACGGAGGAGAAGGACAGCUGGUCGUGCUCCAUGAUGUGAACCAGGUCUUCGUCCUUGUCUUUCUUCACGUAGAACAUCUUCCUGAACUUCUUCAGCUCGUGGAGUUCACAGAAGGUCUCCAGGACAACCAGCAUGGCGAUGAGUCCGAGGAGCAGGUAACCUGUGAAGCAGAAGACAGGCAGCAUCUUAGUCUGACCUAGUUACCAUGAAAUCAAGACGGAACAACUUCUCCCCGUCCCACGCCACACACAAGGCUUCUCCGGCAGGUAGCUGAUUUCUAGGGAGGUUUGAAGUCCACACAGCUCACGGAGGAAUGCAGAGAGAAAGAACGAGAAAAGGCUUAGCCGCCGAUGACUUUGGAUUAGUCACAAUCACAGGCUUCAGACGUGGUGUGAGUGAGCUUC